rnacentral:rRNA from 1 species
CUUGUCCCCCUCCUAAGAGGUCUCGCCUGCCCAGUGACUCUGUUCAACGGCCGCGGUAUCCUAACCGUGCAAAGGUAGCGUAAUCACUUGUCCUCUAAAUAAGGACUAGUAUGAAAGGCGCCACGAGGGCUAAACUGUCUCCUUUUUCCAAUCAGUGAACCUGAUCCCCCUGUGAAGAAGCAGGGAUACUCAUAUAAGACGAGAAGACCCUAUGGAGCUUAAAACAUCACAACACUUGCCAACUUUCAAACUAUUCGACUUCCCAUCUACACGGCAUGUUGGCUGUGAAUUUUUGGUUGGGGUGACCGCGGAGAAUAACUAAUCCUCCACAGCGAAUGGGAGUUCCCCUAAACAAUAAGUUACAACUUUAUGUAUCAAUAAAUUGACACCCAUUGACCCAAUACACUUGAUCAACGAAC